GACGAACGCUGGCGGCGUGCCUAAUACAUGCAAGUAGGACGCAGUUGCGAACGGGUGAGUAACGCGUAGGUAACUACCUAUUAGAGGGGGAUAACUAUUGGAAACGAUAGCUAAUACCGCAUACUAGUAGAUGGACCUGCGUUGUAUUAGCUAGUAGGUAGGGUAAUGGCCUACCUAGGCAACGAUACAUAGCCGACCCGGUGGGGUGGUGGGGCACCAUGGGACCGGGACACCGCCCAGACUCCUACGGGGGGGAGCAGGUGGGAAUCUUCGGGAAUGGGGGGAACCCUUGCCGGGCAACGCCGCGUGAGUGAAGAAAGUUUUCGGGUCGUAAAACUCUGUUGUUAAGGGAGCGGUACUUAACCAGAAAGGGACGGCUAACUACGUGCCAGCCGCCGCGGUAAUAC
rnacentral:rRNA from 1 species